rnacentral:rRNA from 1 species
CUACAAUGGCGUAAACAAAGGGAAGCGAGACGGCGACGUUAAGCAAAUCCCAGAAAUAACGUCCCAGUUCGGAUUGUAGUCUGCAACCCGACUACAUGAAGCUGGAAUCGCUAGUAAUCGCGGAUCAGAAUGCCGCGGUGAAUACGUUCCCGGGUCUUGUACACACCGCCCGUCACACCAUGGGAGUCGGAAAUGCCCGAAGUCAGUGACCCAACCGUAAGGAGGGAGCUGCCGAAGGUGGAGCCGGUAACUGGGGUGAAGUCGUAACAAGGUACC